rnacentral:rRNA from 1 species
UACGUAGGUGGCAAGCGUUGUCCGGAUUUACUGGGCGUAAAGAGUAUGUAGGCGGACAUUUAAGUCAGAUGUGAAAUCCCCGGGCUUAACCUGGGAGCUGCAUUUGAUACUGGGUGUCUAGAGUGUAGGAGAGGAAAGUGGAAUUCCUAGUGUAGCGGUGAAAUGCGUAGAGAUUAGGAAGAACACCAGUGGCGAAGGCGACUUUCUGGACUAUAACUGACGCUGAGAUACGAAAGCGUGGGGAGCAAACAGG